AGUGAACGCUGGCGGCAGGCCUAAUACAUGCAAGUCGAACGGCAGCACAGCAGAGCUUGCUCUGUGGGUGGCGAGUGGCGGACGGGUGAGGAAUACGUGGGAAUCUGCCCAGUCGUGGGGGAUAACGUAGGGAAACUUACGCUAAUACAGCAUGCGCCCUUCGGGGGAAAGCCGGGGACCUUCGGGCCUGGCGCGAUUGGAUGAGCCCACGUCGGAUUAGCUGGUUGGCGGGGUAAAGGCCCACCAAGGCGACGAUCCGUAGCUGGUCUGAGAGGAUGAUCAGCCACACUGGAACUGAGACACGGUCCAG
rnacentral:rRNA from 1 species